rnacentral:rRNA from 1 species
CAAGUCGAGCGAAUCCUGCCUUCCACCCAGCUCUCAAGGUCGAAAAGCCGGAAGCGUAAGCGGCCAGGCGAGCCGGGAGCGUGAGCGACCGGAGUAGAUCUUGGAGAGUGAGGUGGAGGGCAGGGGAAGCGGCGAAAGGGGCAGUAAUGCGUGGGUAACGUACCCCGGGGACGUGGAUAGCCCUUCUAACGAGGGGGUAAUACACGGCGAUUUGGCGAGGUGGCAUCAUCUCGCCAGGAAAUGAAUUUCGCCUCGGGAGCGGCUCACGUGGUAUUAGCUAGUUGGUGGGGUAACGGCCCACCAAGGCAAAGAUGCCUAGCGGGUGUGAGAGCACGACCCGCGCCACUGGCACUGAGACACUGGCCAGACACCUACGGGUGGCUGCAGUCGAGGAUCUUUGGCAAUGGGCGAAAGCCUGACCAAGCGACGCCGCGUGGAGGAUGAAGGCCUUCGGGUUGUAAACUCCUGUCGAGGGGGAUCAAGGGGCAACCUUGAGUGAUCCCUGGAGGAAGCUCGGGCUAAGUUCGUGCCAGCAGCCGCGGUAAGACGAACCGAGCGAACGUUGUUCGGAAUCACUGGGCUUAAAGGGCGCGUAGGCGGCUUACCAAGUCAGGGGUGAAAUUUUGCGGCUUAACCGUAACAGUGCCUUUGAUACUGGUAGGCUAGAGGGAGACAGGGGUCCGCGGAACUUCUGGUGGAGCGGUGAAAUGCGUUGAUAUCAUAAGGAACGCCGGUGGCGAAAGCGGCGGACUGGAUCUUUUCUGACGCUG